AGCAUGGGCCCCCACGGGUGACUGUGGCAUAUGGGCCCACUAGUGACGUAGACAAAUCAUAUUUCUGAAUGUGACGCAUCAGACAAGCUUCUUCUGCUUUUGCUCACAGCCUUCUCCAAUGCAAUUAUUACUCCAAUGCAAAUAUAAAAGUGCCGGAAUUCUGAUCCACUCCUUUCUUUUUAAUAAAGAAGUGAUCUGCCCAUUUUUUUUUUUUAUCCAGUUUAGUAAACAGGUUGAUUUCCCUGAACCCGAACCUGUUUAAAAUGGGCGGGUCACAAGUGACCCGACGGGUCAUGACCCGUUUUGUCAGCCCUAAUGGUAUGCCGUGGGAAGAUUCCUCCUUCCUUCACCUUUUGCUCCGUCUCUACGCAGAGAAAAUGGAGUUCUUCGUAAGACCUCACCAGACGCUGCAAUCACUCGCGGUGGAGAGCUCCGACACGAUCAGCAGCUGCGCGAGAUCUUCACGGGAAAGCAACGAGGAGCUGGUAGAUGAGAAGAAAACAAAAUGGCGGCACGUGAAGAUGCCGUUCACACCUCUGUUGGGCGCGUGAAGACUUUCCGAGAUGAGUUUUUGCGACUCGAUUUGUUGUCCCAGCUUCGUCUCGUCGUCGCCGACCCAAUGUUAAGCUCAGAUACCAGUUGUUAGGGGGAAAAGAGAUGAUCCAGAAUACAAACACAACACAAUCAAUCGCACAGAACACAAAAGGAUUACGUGGUUCGGCCAAACUCGACUUACGUCCACGGGAGAGAGGGAGUCUCACUGUAUAAUCAAUAAGAAAGAUACAAUAGAGGAGGAGUAGCACAGCUCAACUCAACUCUCAGCUCUUAACCUCUCUGCCUCUCGCACACAGCUCACUUCUACUUUGCUUCUAUAUUUUCUCUCACACACUUUCCUUUACAAAGCAGUGUAUUUAUUUUGCCAGAGAGGAGCAUUGAGACAAAGCAGAAAUAUAAACAAUACACAUGCUCGAGGCUGUGAACUUUGCAAUCAUUUCUUGAAAUCAGAUUACUCUUUUGCAAUGUGAACUUUGCUUCUUUUUUUUUUUUUUUUUUCUCAUUUUCCAUUACAGAGAUCUAAAAAAUCAAUUUAAUUUAAUUACUUGUUCAUUUGCCCUCUCUUUAUUUUCUUGCCUUUUCCCCCACUUUUUAUUGUAUGCAUAUAUAAUUGAUUUUCCCCCUGCUUUCUGCAUAUUGCCGAGGAUCAAAAUUUUCUAUUCUCCUUGAACUGUGUAUAAGAAAUUUCUUUAGUUUUGGUUCCCACUGUAUUUUUCUAUCGCAAAAAGAUAAAUAGGCUCUCUUUUCCUUUCAAUCUGUCAUUUUAUUGCUGAUCCUUUCGUUGCCUUUAAUUUAACUUUAAUUAUGUUUUUUUUUUCUUUCUAGAAUUCAGCUCUUAGGUUUUUUCUUCUUUUUUUAAUGCUUUUUUUAGGUUGUCAUUUUAACUGAGACAAUGACAAGUUCAACUUUAAAAUGUUUGCUUCAGGUCACAACCAAAUCAUGUGGGUAAGAGCCCGCCCCUAGUCUUUUCAUUUUUCUUCUCCUCCAACUGAGAUGUUUUUUUUUUUUUUUUUCCUUUUUCCUUCAGAGUUAAAACUCUAAGAAUUUACCUAUUUAAAUUUACAUACAAAACAUAGUAAUUAUGUUUUUAAGUUCGCUCAAUUUUUUUACAUCUCUAUUUUGGUCUAUAUAUAUAUAUAAAACAUUAAUGUAUAUUUUUACAUUUUUGAUCAUCGUGUUUUAUCACGUUGUUAUUGUAUUAAUGAGUCUAAAACUUACUUGAACCAUGCCCUUUAAAAUUUCUACAUUUAUCUAUUUCUUUAACUUGAAGAGAUUCUUAAGAUCAUGUUGUUUCAUUUUAUGGGUUUAUCUUCCUCUUGACAUUUUACAUAAAUUUUAGAUAAACAUUCUUUUAACUUUGUGCACUCUACGUUUAGGGUUCUACAUUUAUGUGAAGAUUCAUAUUCACCAAUUAAUAUGCCUUGGGUCAUCUCCUUAAAUACACAAAUCCUCACAAAUUCUUGAGUAAGUUAUCUAUUUAUGUUCAUAUCUUCCGUUAAUUAGUUAUAUUUUAGAAAAAAAAAAAAAAAAAGGCUGAAAAAAAAGGAACAUUAUAACAUAACCUACAUUAUAAUAUUAUACGAUCACAUUUGUUAGGUGGUGUUUUUUUUUUUUUCUCAAUUGUUCUUAUUUCUUUGUGUAUCUUUUGGAAAGGCCAAGAUAAAGAAAAGUUAGGAGCGAAGGCAUAUUCCUCUCUCCCUCCCUCAAACUCCUUGGAGGCAUACAUUGCACUCUUUUUGCCUGUAUUUUUUCCUUUUUCCUAAAUAUUUGAUUUGCCUUUGUGGAUUACUUUGACAUUCUAUUAGAUGACUAAUGAAUUUGUACUCUAGAGUGUUUAAAUUAUUUGUUCAUAUAUUUUUUAAACAAAAAAUACAAGCACAUAUUAUUGUGAAAGGAUUGUCUAGAACCUAUUAUUGAACAAAGAUGUUUCCAACAGAUGCGAACUACUCUUUGGUCCUAGUACAACCUUGAAGAAGUCAGAUUCAUUGCCUUUCGCCAUAUGGAGCUUUAAGCUUUCCUUUAUCCUAUAUAUUAUUUGUUUCAAUUCCUCUGUUUCAUUUUAUUUGUUUUGGAUUUUUCAAUUGAUUUAUAAUUUUUCAAGGAACCAUUUUUUUGAAAGUAUCUUGCAAUGUCAUGCCAUUUCACCUUACUCUUGCUUCUGGGUUGUGUGUUGCUUAGUUGUCAAAUGCAUACUUAAUCUAUAACUUCUUCCUGUGAUUAUAUGACUGACAGCAUGCAAGCUGACACGCUUACCUUCAAGCCAUGCUUACACAAGCUGAUUGCUUAUAUGCUGACUUUUCCUAAUUGAACUACCUCGAUUCACUGAAUCCGAAUCCUGCCUCUUCCUUGCCACCACGAUCUCCGGUGUUCUCAACCACACCUUUGACACACACAUGGGUGCAAUAGAAGAGGGAGCUUGUUCUUUUUAUUUUGUCUAACACAAAUAUAAUUAAAAUAUAUAUAAAUACAGAUUUGACGAAUGCCUAACUGGCAUCAGAAGCCGUGACAGCAUCCGAUUAACUCGGAGGGCAAACAGGGGAGGGCCGCCGUCUUGUGGGUUUGGUGCCACAUUGGGGGGGUCUGAAGGGCUCGUCAAUGGCCGGAGUUUCCACGUAUACCCCAAAAAAAAAUUAUAUAUAAAUACAAAGUGCAUAGAAGUUUCAAAUGAAGACCCUUGGGAGCUGAGGCUGAUAUGGCCAAUGAAUAAAUAUUGGCUUUUAACGGUGACUCUAAGUCUAAAGUAUUAUGAUGGUAGCAGUUCUUUGAAUUGUUGGGGUUGAAAAAUCCCAGUUGAAAGUGUCCAUUGGUGGAAACAAUGAUAUUGCCAGCGUCUCCAAUGGAUUGGGAUUAGUUAAGCUAUCUACUACGCUGCAAAAAAUGAAGAGGGAGAAUAAGGAGAACAUAGAAGCAACCCAUAAGUGGUGCGAACCGACCUUCAUCUUCGUUGGUGUCUUCUAUCAUGCUUCUGCUCACUGUUCAUUUCCUCUGAAAAACCGGAGAAGCAUUUGACAUGGAAGCAAGCAGAAGAAGUAACACUAAAGAAUUGAAUUUAAAAGGCAAACCUUAUAAGUUCCACUAAAUUUUGCUACUAACUUUACAAUUUUUUGCUUGCUAUAAAUCCAUUUGUAUGUCAUUUUCUUCCCAUCACACUGCAUUAUGCAAACAAUUAUGCGCCAACUGUUUAAACUUUGAACCAAAGUUCAGUUUUCUAAGUUUUACAUAGAUGUUACAUGUACAAAAGGAUAAAAUUACUCUACAUUUUCUGAAAA